GACGACCGGACCAUACCCAACCCGUCGUCCUGCCGUCCAAGUCCCAUGGCGAAAGGAUGGGGCCAUGAGACUGUCUUCAACGGACGCCGCUACCACCCCCUCCUUUAUUACUGUAGUCCAUAUAGGGGCUACAGUACACCCCCUUCACCUUCAGCGCAUCCCUCUUCCUCCUCCUCUCCCCUCCCGAUUCUUUCUCUCUCCCGCUAAAUGGAUGGGCACGCUACGGCGCUCGCGUCCCCUCCGGCUGCUAGCUUCCCAGACAAGCCCGCGCGCUCGGAAUACUCCGAGGAGGGAGCUCCAGGCGAGUCCACAGAGACCGCACCACCGCCGGAGAACUUUGUCGUGGAUCCGCCCUCCGCCGCGAUUCAUUUGCCUUGCUCCGGGCGGCGACCAGCAGACGCCGUCGUCCACGCGGAUCCACUGGGCAGCUUCGCGGAGCGGCGACCCGGUCGAUCCGUGCAAAGACGCCGCCGUCGGUCGUCUAUUUCCGCCAGUUCGUCGUCUGCGGGACUCACGUCAACGCGAAAUAAUCGAAUCGGCGACAGAUCGACGCUCACCAGAUCUGCUUCUUUCGAGCUACGACGUCGAAGCCAAGGAGGAACUGCUUGACGAUUGAAAUCAAGAUGAGCAGCCAUGAUGCCAAACUGGUGCAAAACUUGGUCCUCAAUCUUGCAUCCUCAGUGGAAAGUCGUGCAGUCAAUAUUAGGACCUUUUUAGAAGAGGCUUUCCGUCAUUUGGGUGACGAGCAUUACCUUCUGAAUGCUCUACUUGCUAUUCGAAAAGAGGUAGACCUGAUGGAGCAGGAUGCAAUUGAGAGCAAAGCAAGGUCUGACCCAGAGAAGGAUAGGAUGGAGGAACAAAUUAACCUUGCUCAGGAUGCCAAGCCCGUGCCUAGACAAAUAACUUUCACCCCCCCCAUCCUCACCAGAAUUGUAUGACGCCAGUGACAAUGACUCCUACGACUCCGACAGGUCCACUAGGUAUAGCAUUUGGAACCUGUAAUAAUGGUACGUAGAACCUGGUCGUAGUAGUACUAAUGCAUCCAAAUAAAGUAGGAACUUGUCUGGUAUCUGUUUGAUGCAUGCGUAACCGAUGUACGAAUGGUUGAAGCUUAUCUUACUUAUGUACGAACCUGUUGUGGGAUGCUUUAUCCUUUUGUAGUCAACUUAUUUCCAAUGCUU